UGGAGGAGGACUUGGUGGUGCUAAGGAAUGGAGUACUGCAAGGACGGACGCCGCUUCCGUUGAACUCAGGUGAGCUUGCGAGUCCGCGACGGCCUUGGUGAUUUUACUAUUACUGCUACUCUAUUAGUCAUGGAAUUCGGGAGAGCUUGGGUUCGAAUUUUAUUUUCUGGGAUUUUUAUCGGGGUGUAUGCAACUGUAUAACUGUAAAUUGGCUUGCCCCUGGGUGUUCUUGGUUGGUGAUUCGGCAAUGAUUUGAAGCGGUCUGGCUUAUGAGCCGGUGGUUAGGUGGAGUCUGGUUAUUAUAGUUUCGGUACAGGAGGGGGAAAGGUGGCACAAAUCUGGGGGCAGGGCAUGUUUCUGCCUGAUUGAUCCAAUCAUUUUUUUCUUCUGGUAUCAAUCAAUCAUGCCAGCAUCUGAAACGGACUAUCAAAUCUGAAUUAGCACUGUUUUUUAUAUAUAAUGAUACCAUACAGCUCGAGAUGAACAUAUGCUUGACUGAAUAGCUGUUCAUACAUCUGGAGGUGUUACUAUGAGUACAAUUACCAUUCAGAAAGAAAAGAACUAUGAGUAAAAUGCAGAGAACGCACUUCCAGACUAUCAAUCAUGCAUGCCCAUAUCAUUUGCUUUUCUUAAUGUUUCUCAGUUUAACUUACUAGUCUCUUGUCUAUGUAUUUUUUGCUGCCAGAAGGGACCCAAAUAGGUUGCAACUGGGAGUAAAAUAUGUGUCUAAACUGAUCGUCUGGUGCGAAAAUUGACGACCAAGAUCCAGUUAUGUGUAUUGCAGGACAACACCUUUCAUUAGAUACACUUUGAUGCUAUUUCUAGCAUGAAUUUCUAUUUCAGACUUAAAACUAAAAUUCUGAACAAGUAAAAUCGCUCUUGUUCCUUAUUUUUUUAGGGCGGUUCCUCUCGUUUUACUGGUUCGUCCGCUCCUUCAUGAUUGAUGUACUGGUUCUAGCCCCUCCUUCGUGAUAGACUCGGUUAACUCUUUGUUAGCCUUGUGGGUCAUAAUUCUUUCUCUCCAGACGCAUAUACUGCCUGAUGUAUUGCUCAUGCUCAUUCUGUACCGAGAUAGUCCUAAUAUCCAUAGGGUUGUAGAUUGAUUUCCCCUGAAAAAGCUAUGCUUCUUUCCUUGGAUGAUAAGCAUGUUCGGUAGCUAUGUGGAAUUCUUAAGAUAAACGGUCUUUACUUUCUUUUGGUGCAUCUGCGUGCACAUAAUAGUCUGUUAGUUUCUCUUUAUAUAAUGAAAAAAAUAUGUUGUUGUAGCUUGUUUAUUAUUAUCUAUCAUUUGUAGAUUGAUUUUUAGGCCACCGGUACUUGUAUGUAUAAUUUCUAGUCUCUUGAAUGAAUAAUUUUUCUUUAUGUGUCAUGCGUCUUGUGUUACUACAUACAUCUGUCGUGAAGUACAUGGUUCCGGAACUAUGGUAACCCAUAGUUUGCUCUACUCGUGAUAGUAGGAUGAUGGAAGCAUCACUAUUGAAUGUAGUUCAUGUUUCUUCAUAUAAUCAUCAUUUACUAGAGUUUCUCUUCUUCUUGCUACUGCUUGGUUUUUGACGCCACUAGCUUGUACUAGAACGCAAACACAUCAUAUUGUUUUCAUCAGACUAGUGUACCUUGAGCAUGCAAAGUAAACACAUGCUACUCCACUUGUCUAUUUGUACAUAAACUUUUGUUUAAAUAAACCGAGCUAAUAAACCAAACGGUGCGAACACAUUCAGUUCUGAAAUUUGUCUACUCCACUUGUUUGAUUGUACUGAAACCUUUGUUUGCAUGUUUCUAAAAUACAGAGAAGAACACCCUGUGUUCUGGUAAAAUUUCCUAUGAUAUGAAAUUCCAUGAUGUGUGUGUUGUUUCAGUUUCUGUAGCUACAACAAAGUCCCAGUUUACUCUGUACUUGCUUUUGAUGAUUGCUGGCUAAAUUUACAGUUGAAAUAAUAGUAGCCAAGGAGUAGAUACAAGACGUAUUUACCAUAUUUUGCAUGGAAUGUUAAAAAUCAGUUUUGUUGUGGUUUCUUGUUCUGUGAGUCAAAUUGCAUAAGAUGGGAGUAUCACAACAUGCAUAUACUGAAGAUGGGAGUAUCACAACCUGAAUGUGCAGCUUAUGUAGUUUCUGUAUUUUUGUUAAAGCAUGGAGUAGCUUCUAUAGUUUCUGUAUUUUUGUUAAAGCAUGGAGUAGCUUCUAUAGCUUCCUCACAAGUUAAUGCUUCGCUCGUCCGGGUGUGUGAUAAUGCCAUUUGUCUUGUGCAAUCAGAUUACAUUUCUGUUUGUUAUGGUAAUAUAAAUAUUCAUCCUGUCAAAAUUUUCACAGUGCGUGUCUUUCAUUUCUUUAAUUUGAUUGUUUCCCUUGUAUUCAAUAUGCUUCUAGUGGCUGAUCCUUCCAUUUUUGUUGUGGCAUCUUUAUUUUCACAGGUGUUGUGUGUUCUGGAAGAUGGAAGAGGAAGAAAUUGUUGAACUAAAUUUUCUGUAUUCUGUUUUGUUGUACGUAUCAUUUGAUAGUUUUGUAUAGGAACAAGUGAUACUAUUUUGUAGGGCUUUAUGGCCUGUGAUGUAAACAUAUUUAGUGCUGAAAUAUGAAAUUAUUUGCAAAAUUUGUCAAAAAGGUGGAUCAUAUGUAUGAAUAUGUGAAUGGGCUGAAAAGAGUACUGGACCAACUCCAGGAUUG
rnacentral:lncRNA from 1 species